GAUGAACGCUGGCGGCGUGCCUAAUACAUGCAAGUCGAGCGAACAGAUGAGAAGCUUGCUUCCCUGAUGUUAGCGGCGGACGGGUGAGUAACACGUGGGUAACCUACCUAUAAGACUGGGAUAACUCCGGGAAACCGGGGCUAAUACCGGAUAAUAUUUUGAACCGCAUGGUUCAAUAGCGAAAGACGGUUUCGGCUGUCACUUAUAGAUGGACCCGCGCCGUAUUAGCUAGUUGGUAAGGUAACGGCUUACCAAGGCGACGAUACGUAGCCGACCUGAGAGGGUGAUCGGCCACACUGGAACUGAGACACGGUCCAGACUCCUACGGGAGGCAGCAGUAGGGAAUCUUCCGCAAUGGGCGAAAGCCUGACGGAGCAACGCCGCGUGAGUGAUGAAGGUCUUCGGAUCGUAAAACUCUGUUGUUAGGGAAGAACAAAUUUGUUAGUAACUGAACAAGCCUUGACGGUACCUAACCAGAAAGCCACGGCUAACUACGUGCCAGCCGCCGCCGUAA
rnacentral:rRNA from 1 species